UACGUAGGGUGCGAGCGUUAAUCGGAAUUACUGGGCGUAAAGCGUGCGCAGGCGGCUUCGCAAGUCAGGCGUGAAAUCCCCGGGCUUAACCUGGGAAUGGCGUCUGAAACUACGGAGCUGGAGUGUGGCAGAGGGAGGUAGAAUUCCACGCGUAGCGGUGAAAUGCGUAGAUAUCGGGAGGAACACCUGAGGCGAAGGCGGGCUACUGGGCCGAUACUGACGCUGAUGUGCGAAAGCCAGGGGAGCGAACGGG
rnacentral:rRNA from 1 species